AUAAACACUUCUUAAAGUCUUCUAAUAGGAUCAGUUCUCUUAAUGCAUUGUAAUCACCAACUUUACACGUUGCACACCAUUUAUCAAAUAGAGUUCCUUUCUCACGGGCAAACUCGACAUAAGAGCAGAAGCUUUCUUGUGACCUCUGAACUUCUGUCGGUACGCUUCAGGCACAAGUUCAUAAACUCGUAAGAUAGCCUGUUUGACAGUUUCAUAAUUUAAGCUAUCUUCAACAGGAAGUGCAGCUAUAGCAUCCUGGGCUUUACCGUGCAUUUUACACUGGAGCAGAAGCGUCCAUUGUAAAGCAACCGCUAUCCUCUCAAAAACAUUGAAAUAGGAGUCAACUUCCUUAUCCCGAAAUACAGGUAUUAAGGCCACAUGCUUACUAAUGUCAAAUGCUAUUUUAGGUGAGCUGGUGGAAGGUGCAACAGCCUCCAACUGCUCGGUCAGAGUAAUCACACCCUUUUCCACCAAUCCCCCAAUCACUCUUUCUCUAAUUUCUUUUUUAAGCAUGGCCCUGCUAAAGGGAAUAUUGAAGUGAAUCGCUAUCUCUAUUAAAUCAUCCUUCCUGCAACUAUGUACUUGGUCAACAGUGGGAUGGGCUACAAAUAUCUUCAAGUUAAACUUUUCUGCCAUGGUGCGGAGUAGCUAGCAGCAUUCACUCAAGCAGACAGCUGAAUCCCUAAUGAGCUCACUUAACACACCGAGUAAUCAACGGAGCUCAACAAACUCUCACCAAUUUAACUAAACACGUGACAGACCCGAUUCCAUUGCCAGUUUACAAUUACCAAUGUGUAAUUUUCAUUUCGAUCCCGGACGAGCCCCCAUUUAUGUUACGACCCGGCCCGUUAUGGAGAGCAGUAACAAGUGAUUGGGAAUUAGAAAUGAGGUGGAAUGGGACAACUGGACUGGUUUAGGGUAAAGUCGGGCAUUUAAUUAAAUAAGGAGGGUGCACAUGCGCAAGAAAACAUAACAGAAGGAGGCUAUACAGGUGCUGACAAGUAACUAAAACACAAAAUAACAUCAACCGCUAUUUAGCUCUUGGAAAAAAAAGAAGGAACGCCAAAUAACUAAAGGAGGUCAGCACCCAUAAGCUUUACAUAACAUAACAGCACAAAACAAACAAGCAGCUAUUCUGCAAAAAGAACUCAACAAAAGCAAGAGAGAGACCAUCAAGGUACUCUCUAAACUAGUUAAAUGUACACAGAUUCAGCACACUGGCUAAAACCACUCAAAUAGGUUCCAGCCAGGCAAAACUAAACAAACACUCUAUUUCAAUAUGCUUUAACACAACGGACUGUCACAGUAUGUAACCAACGGCGAGGCGAACUGAUCACUGACUCACAGCCGCCAUGAACUGAGGGCACACAAGCUAUUUAUGUUGCAGCUGGGGUUGAUUGCAGAGUCUCGAUUGGUAGAUUUGGUAGACACACAGCUACACCAAUCACAGACGCAGGUGGACAGGAAGCAGGAAGUAGACCGCCUCUGCUUCGGCCGGACCAAUCCUCAUCAGGGAAUCACACAGCUUGCUUUGCAUGCCUGGCAGAAUCACUCAUGGGAACACACAAUGAACAUACACUAAACGGCAGCCAGCAGCGGCCGUAACCCUGUGGCUUUGUGAAAAAUGUUUUGUCUGUCAGUUUGAACCCUGCUGCAAGACAGCAACCACAAAUAUUACUGCAACUUUGGCGUCCACGGUGACUCCAGCGUCCACAGCAGACCAUCAGAAAGAAACAUGUAUGGUUACUAUGGUGCCAGAGGACACUGAAGACCAUCCCUACAGCAAAGACUUGGCUUAUGUGUGUGUCCAUUUAGAGCAGUGAUGUUACUGUGGCCAGACAAGAGGACACGUCUUCAAAGUGUCUUGUGCUAUGAAAGAUCCAACAAGCCAAACAGCAACCAUGUGAGUCCAGUUGUCUGUUAAUUCAUGUCAUUACUCAGGAUGAAGGCAUGCUGCAAUACCUUAAGAAAAUCAUCAGAGGCAACAUUGUGUCUCCCUGGGCCAAGAAGGAGGACAGGGUCUUCAUUCUUUUUGAAGAUGAUGACCAAGUGGACCAGGUGAUGCACUUCUUGUCUGGAGUGGUUGAAAGUCCACAGACAGAUAAGAAGUCUGCAGAUCCUGUGGCUUCAAUCAUACAGAGCUGUACUCUCCAUCUCCCUGGACAAAGACU